rnacentral:rRNA from 1 species
GAUGAACGCUGGCGGCGUGCCUAAUACAUGCAAGUCGAGCGAACAGACGAGGAGCUUGCUCCUCUGACGUUAGCGGCGGACGGGUGAGUAACACGUGGAUAACCUACCUAUAAGACUGGGAUAACUUCGGGAAACCGGAGCUAAUACCGGAUAAUAUAUUGAACCGCAUGGUUCAAUAGUGAAAGACGGUUUUGCUGUCACUUAUAGAUGGAUCCGCGCCGCAUUAGCUAGUUGGUAAGGUAACGGCUUACCAAGGCGACGAUGCGUAGCCGACCUGAGAGGGUGAUCGGCCACACUGGAACUGAGACACGGUCCAGACUCCUACGGGAGGCAGCAGUAGGGAAUCUUCCGCAAUGGGCGAAAGCCUGACGGAGCAACGCGGCGUGAGUGAUGAAGGUCUUCGGAUCGUAAAACGCUGUUAUUAGGGAAGAACAAAUGUGUAAGUAACGAUGCACGUCUUGACGGUACCUAAUCAGAAAGCCACGGCUAACUACGU